rnacentral:rRNA from 1 species
GGCGAUUCUUCCACGGCGCUCGAAGCGCGUCGUGGUAUUUCGCGUAUUGUAAUUUCAACACGAGCGGGGUCAAAUCCUUUGCAGACGACUUAGCUGUGCGAAACGGUCCUGUAAGCAGUAGAGUASCCUUGNUGUUACGAUCUGCNGAGGGUAAGCCGUCCUUCGCCUCGAUUUCCCCAAUGGGUUCUCCGGAUUUCUGGAGACUUGUAGGGGUUGUGGGAUUUUUGAUGUGUCGUCUCCGGACGGGCGGUGCAGGGUAGUCGAGUUAGACUUGGUGGAAUUCCGUCGAUAGGAGUUCCGUCGAGUCUGGUCGGCUGUGUGUUGGACGGUGUAGGGUAGGCUGCUUGGACAUGGUCGGUUCGAGGAUCGAUUCGAGGGCCGGCCUGUCGAUGAUGUGUGAUGUAUGCGGUCUAGGGUAGGUUGGUUUGUCUUGGUUCGAUUUGAUGUCGGCUCCCGUGCAGGCCAGAGUGAGGGGGGUCCAGGGUAGGUGCAGGGUAGGCAGCUUAGAUUUGGUCGAUCUGGAGGUCGAUUCUCCGGCUGGCGGAUCUGACACUGUCGAAACGAGAUGCGAGGGGUGUAGGGUAGGCUAGUUUCGUACUUGCCAGGUUGCGAUUUGGACGAGAUAUGUGGUUUAGGGUAGGCUCUAGGGUAAGUAGAAUUCGAGUUUCGUCGCCGAUAGUUUUCUGUGGGUGUAUGGUAGGUACAGGGUAGGCAAAUCUCUCUCCGGCCAGUACUUGUCUCGUGGUCGUGAGUCGAUUUUUUUGUUUUGCCAUACUAUUGAAUUUUGCGGAAAUUCAAAAGUGGCUCGGGAGUCCCGCCUGGCGUGCGUCCGACUCGAACAUCG